rnacentral:misc_RNA from 1 species
UAAUAAGUGUUUUAUGGCACUUUUUAAAUCCAUAUCCACCUUGUGUGCAAUGUUCAGUCGAUCUUCUUCAUGGAGAUCGACCAAACAUCAACCUUUAUCUUUUAACUCUUUGUCUGAAAAAUAUUAUGAAUAAACAAUUCAAAAUA